UGAUUACGUCCCUGCCCUUUGUACACACCGCCCGUCGCUGCCCGGGACUGAGUUACUUCGAGAAAACUACGGACUGCUAGAGUUGAAUGCCUUGUGUAUUCUCUUUGAUGGAAAGUAGUUUUAUCGCAGUGGCUUGAACCGGGCAAAAGUCGUAACAAGGUAGCCGUAGGUGAACCUUCGGCUGGAUCAUUACCGAUCUUUUCGAACCUUUUACUUUUCGAACAAACAUACGUAGUUUCUACCAACUGCAUGGUGGCUACGUGUGACAUGAAUUCGGUUGUUGUAGUUUUUUUGAACGAACGUUCGGCUACAACAUAUAGACUGUUUUCGUGUGUGGUGGUUUUUGUCCGCCAAAGCCCCCUGCAGAGUCUCAACCGCAAACGCGGCACAACGGAUACCGAUUGGAUUCUAUGUUUCAGCUGAGUAGUUGUACUAUCGUGGCUACUGUGACGCUGUUCGAGAGUUGUCGACACUUGUGUUGGCUUCGAGAAUUAAUGAGUCAAAUGACCGCCAAUCAACACCUUUUAUUCAUUCAAUUUCAAUAUUAUAUCAAAUACAGUUAAGUUGCUCCGGUGGAUCACUUGGCUUGUGGGUCGAUAAAGAACGCAGUGAAUUGCGAUAACAAGUACGAAUUACAGAUAUUAUGAGUACCAUGUUUUUGAAUGCAUAUUGCGCCGUUGGGUUAUGCUCAUCGGCACAUGCGAUUCAGGGUAUGUUAACGACUAAAAGUAGCACACUAAAAUUGUCCGUUUUUAACGUGACUUCGCAAGUGCUUCGCGUUGUAAGUCUGUCGUUGGUGUGAGAGAUUUUUUUUUUCUCUAUACACUGGCUACGGAUCGCAUUGUGCGCAUUGGCGUUUCGGCGUCGAUGACCAACGCUUCGUUCAUACUAAACAAAAUUUGACAUGUUUGUAUACCAAACUGUUUGACGACAGAGUCGCUCGUGAUAGUUCGAGUGUUCGUUGUGUUUCGUUUUUAAAAGUAAUGGUUGUUGGCGACAAAUGUUGUAGACUAUUGCUGAGAAGCACGCUAAAUUGACGAGCACAUUUUCGACUGUUGCACUGACUUGUUAUUGGCGUCGAGCGGGCAGGCGUUGUCGAUUGUUGUUUAGAGUAAACUACCUGAGUUGCGUGUGAUCACCUGCUGAACUUAAGCAUAUCAGUAAGCAGAGGAAAAGAAACAAACAUGGAUUUCCUUAGUAACGGCGAGUGA
rnacentral:misc_RNA from 1 species